GGGUUGUGAGGUUAAGCGACUAAGCGUACACGGUGGAUGCCCUGGCAGUCAGAGGCGAUGAAGGACGUGCUAAUCUGCGAUAAGCGUCGGUAAGGUGAUAUGAACCGUUAUAACCGGCGAUUUCCGAAUGGGGAAACCCAGUGCAAUUCGUUGCACUAUCGUUAAGUGAAUACAUAGCUUAACGAAGCGAACCGGGGGAACUGAAACAUCUAAGUACCCCGAGGAAAAGAAAUCAACCGAGAUUCCCCCAGUAGCGGCGAGCGAACGGGGAGCAGCCCAGAGUCUGAAUCAGCAUGUGUGUUAGUGGAAGCGUCUGGAAAGUCGCACGAUACAGGGUGAAAGUCCCGUACACCAAAAUGCACAUGUUGUGAACUCGAAGAGUAGGGCGGGACACGUGGUAUCCUGUCUGAAUAUGGGGGGACCAUCCUCCAAGGCUAAAUACUCCUGACUGACCGAUAGUGAACCAGUACCGUGAGGGAAAGGCGAAAAGAACCCCGGCGAGGGGAGUGAAAAAGAACCUGAAACCGUGUACGUACAAGCAGUGGGAGCCUCUUUAUGGGGUGACUGCGUACCUUUUGUAUAAUGGGUCAGCGACUUAUAUUCUGUAGCAAGGUUAACCGAAUAGGGGAGCCGAAGGGAAACCGAGUCUUAACUGGGCGUUAAGUUGCAGGGUAUAGACCCGAAACCCGGUGAUCUAGCCAUGGGCAGGUUGAAGGUUGGGUAACACUAACUGGAGGACCGAACCGACUAAUGUUGAAAAAUUAGCGGAUGACCUGUGGCUGGGGGUGAAAGGCCAAUCAAACCGGGAGAUAGCUGGUUCUCCCCGAAAGCUAUUUAGGUAGCGCCUCGUGAAUUCAUCUUCGGGGGUAGAGCACUGUUUCGGCUAGGGGGUCAUCCCGACUUACCAACCCGAUGCAAACUACGAAUACCGAAGAAUGUUAUCACGGGAGACACACGGCGGGUGCUAACGUCCGUCGUGAAGAGGGAAACAACCCAGACCGCCAGCUAAGGUCCCAAAGUCACAGUUAAGUGGGAAACGAUGUGGGAAGGCUCAGACAGCCAGGAUGUUGGCUUAGAAGCAGCCAUCAUUUAAAGAAAGCGUAAUAGCUCACUGGUCGAGUCGGCCUGCGCGGAAGAUGUAACGGGGCUAAACUGUGCACCGAAGCUGCGGCAGCGACACUAUGUGUUGUUGGGUAGGGGAGCGUUCUGUAAGCCGUUGAAGGUGUGUCGUGAGGCAUGCUGGAGGUAUCAGAAGUGCGAAUGCUGACAUAAGUAACGAUAAAGCGGGUGAAAAACCCGCUCGCCGGAAGACCAAGGGUUCCUGUCCAACGUUAAUCGGGGCAGGGUGAGUCGACCCCUAAGGCGAGGCCGAAAGGCGUAGUCGAUGGGAAACAGGUUAAUAUUCCUGUACUUGGUGUUACUGCGAAGGGGGGACGGAGAAGGCUAUGUUGGCCGGGCGACGGUUGUCCCGGUUUAAGCGUGUAGGUUUGCAGACCAGGUAAAUCCGGUCUGCUUCAAGACUGAGACGUGAUGACGAGGCACUACGGUGCUGAAGUAACAAAUGCCCUGCUUCCAGGAAAAGCCUCUAAGCAUCAGGUAACACGAAAUCGUACCCCAAACCGACACAGGUGGUCAGGUAGAGAAUACCAAGGCGCUUGAGAGAACUCGGGUGAAGGAACUAGGCAAAAUGGUGCCGUAACUUCGGGAGAAGGCACGCUGAUACGUAGGUGAAGCGGUUUACCCGUGGAGCUGAAAUCAGUCGAAGAUACCAGCUGGCUGCAACUGUUUAUUAAAAACACAGCACUGUGCAAACACGAAAGUGGACGUAUACGGUGUGACGCCUGCCCGGUGCCGGAAGGUUAAUUGAUGGGGUUAGCGCAAGCGAAGCUC
rnacentral:rRNA from 1 species